rnacentral:rRNA from 1 species
UACGUAGGGUCCAAGCGUUAUCCGGAAUCACUGGGCGUAAAGCGUGCGUAGGUGGAUGUUUAAGUGUGAUGUUAAAUCGUGUGGCUCAACCAUAUCGAUGCAUCGCAUACUGGACGUCUAGAGGACAGCAGAGGCAAGUGGAAUUUGUAGUGUAGCAGUGAAAUGCGUAGAUAUUACAAGGAACACCAAUGGCGAAGGCAGCUUGCUGGGCUACUCCUGACACUGAGGUACGAAAGCGUGGGGAGCAAACAGG